CGACGAUGGCGGCGGCGUCGUCUUCUACAGCUUUCCGCCGCCGCUCCCCUCGUCGUCACCAUCCGCCGCCAUCCUCGCCGCCCGCGCGGCCGAGCGAGGCGGGUGGCGGCGCGGCGCGACGGGGAGAGUCCUGCGCGGCGCGAUGGAGCCUCUCGGCCGCGCUGGGGAGACUCCCGCGAGGCGGGAGGAGGCGGCGGCGGCGGGAAGAGGCGCGCGGCCGGGAGCGCUGAGGAGGACGGCGGCCAUCGCCUCCGCGGGUGACUGGCGCUGGCCAGCGUGAAGGGACUGGCGAUGAGGACGAGGCAGCGGUGGUGGACGUCUGGAGCUUGACCGGCUGUCACCGGCUCGUUGACACCGAGGUGGCUCCGUCUCCGCGUGGCGGUGACGGUGACGAGGAGGAGGAGGGAGCCGCGAGGCCCCCGGAGGGUGGCUGGAGCCGGCCACAGUGCAGUGACUGGCGGUGACGACGACGACGAGGUGAUGGUGGUGGGCGUCCGGAACUUGACCAGCUCUGUCACCGGCUCGUUGACUACGAGGUGGCUCCGUCUCCGCGUGGCGGCGGCGGUGACGAGGAGGAGGAGGGAGCCGCGAGGCCCACGGAGUGUGGUGUGUAGGACGGCUUGUGCCAGCCCCCGUACAGGGACUUGGCGGUGCCGAUGGGGACGACGAGAUGGAGGAGGCGGAGGUGGUGGGCGUCCGGAACUUGACCAGCUCUGUCACCGGCUCGUUGACUCCGAGGUGGCUCCGUCUCCGCGUGGCGGUCGCGUGGGGGAGCUGUGAGUCCCCCUGAGCAGGAGGCCGUGAUGGGUUCCGGUGCUCGUGGACAACCCGACCGGUGAAUCUCCACCGACUACAAUCGCCGCUUGCCGCGUGCUGCCACGGUGACGCGGUGGAGGCGUGACGACGGAGGCGAUGGCUGCCGAUGGAGGUGACGCCACAGGCGGCGAUUCGGACAACAAUGAUGGUGACGCCGGAGGAGGUGGUGAAGACUGACGUCGCGAACCAGCGUCGAUGAGCUUCUCACAAAGGGGGAGGGUGCUUGUGUUGGCUGAUGAAAUGUUGAAAAACCCAAUAAAACAACUAGUCAGCAACUA